UCAUUGUAAAAAAAUCUUGGUUUCUUCCCUUUUUCCUUCUCACAAGAUAGCCUCAUUGCCACCACCGGCCCUCAUCUCUGCCGAUGCCGCCACCGCCAAAUCUCAUCACAUAUUUUUCUUCACACUCUACUAUGUGAUUCGGAAGCAACCCACCACCGCCGGCCCUCAUCUCAUUUCCUUUUUGUUAUUGAGAGUGUUUGUGUUGCUAAGCUUACAAAACGGUUGUUCCUUUGGCUGGUUCGCCUGGGAAAAGCACUGAAGAUCAGCACCAUCUUUGAGGAUCUCCAAAUCCCCAAAUCCCCAAAUCCUAUUUCAUCGUCUCCUGUCUUUUAUUCACUUUGCUUCACUCUUUCUAGGGAUUUCUUGAUUAGCAAACCUUGAUAAAGUUUGCAUUCUUGGUUGUAGCAUUUCAUCAGGUCUUGGUGUUGUUUUGAAUGUAGCAAAACCAGCAAAGGGAUCAUUGGUUGUUGUUUUCGGCCUUGGAGCUAUAGGACUUGCGGAGAAACUGGUUGUGUUUAUGGAAUCUAUUUGUCACCCAUAUGUCAAGCACCACAAACAUUAAAUUUAAGCAGUGAAUGCAUUAUUUGAGAAGGAAAAACAACUAAACCGAAAACCAACCUAUGGAGAAUUGUUCAACCGCACCCACAAACGUGAGAAAGGUCAAGGUGAUUUUGUUGAUCAUAAGUCCAAGAAUGUCUGUAAAUCUUAUACUUCUUCAAUGAGUCAAAAGUAUGGUCCUGAUGAAGCCAAUCAUCCUGAGUUUGACCCAGAAGUUUGGUGUGAUGCAAUUGGAGGGCAAGGUACUACACGCACUCAUUUCUAUGGGUUUGGAAUCACGCCACCUGGUAAGAAUUUCAUAUCUACUUCCAUCAAUGCUGGAGAUGCAUCAUACUCGGCUUGUAGUCGUCCGAAUCAUGAACAUGAACAAACUCCAGUUGAAAUUGACAAUUUACUUGAAGAAGUGACUCUUGUGAAAGACAGAAUAAUCAACUUAGAGGAUAAAGUAGAGAAGCAAGCCAGCAAUACGCCGGAUAUCAAGAAGUAUCUUGAACAAAUGAUGGAUAUGUUUAAUCCUGCGCAUAUGUUUACAAAUGCUUCAAUAGGACCUUCUUAGCCUACCUCGCAGGAUAAAGACACUGGUAGACCACCACUUUGAAUAUUAAACAAAUUAAUAUAUGCUAUACAUAUGGUACUAUUUCUUUUUUUAUGUUUAGUACUUGUUAAGACUUGUUAAUUAUCAGUGAUGUAUGAACACUAAGUAUGGUACGGGAAAUUAAUUACAUGUUGUUGACAAUAUUUAA